rnacentral:lncRNA from 1 species
AGAGCAAAUUUUGGUGGCCACCUUGAGUUCAUACACUUUUGACCCAGUCUCUUCCAUCCAAAUGGUUUUUAGAGUGAGACCCUAAAAUGCUUGCCCAGCUUCCAUUUUGCUCUUUGGACCAUAUUUUCCACGUCAGAAAAGUGGCUACUUUUGCUUAAUGGGUUCCUAAAAGCAGUGGCUCUGAAAAAAAAAAUCAAUAAUCUUUUAUUCUCCUGAAUUUCUGGUUGAGUACAGCUUUACCCUUGGUCAAAAUGUAUUAUCUUCUAUGAGAUAUAUAUUUUGUGUACCUCCGCCAUAUUGAGUGUUACGUGGACAUGGGUUGCCAUGGGUGUCACCUUUCUGAAAUUGUUCCAUAAUUAAGGUUAAUUAAGGUUCCAUAAUCCAGGCUAGGGAUCAAAUCUGAGCUACAGCUGCCAGCCUACACAAUAGCCACAGCAGUGCAGGAUCCAACCCUCAUCUGCGACCUACACCACAGCUCACAGCAAUGCCGGAUCCUUAACCCACUGAGUGAGGCCAGGGAUCAAACCCUCAACCUCCUGGUUCCUAGUCGGUUUCGUUUCCACUAUGCCAUGACAGGAACUCCUUAAGACCAUAAUCUAAUGAAUAUAAACACAUGAACAGACUCAGACUUCAGGAAAGCUCUCUAAUUCUUUCCAGUAACAUGUAAAGUGGAAAAAGAAAUUCCUAUCUUGCUAGUCCUUUUCUCCUUUUCUCCUACCUCUUCCAAAUGUUUCCCAUCCCUGUUGCCUUCCCUUCCCUCACAUACACAUACACACAUACACAAAGAGAGAGAGACCCUGGGAAGAUGUGUUUAAGUUGGCAGAUAGAGAAUUCUACCAAGUCAAACUUGCAUGACUUAGUGUUGAAAAAUCUAUUUUUCUGUAACUAUUUUUCUGCUUAAAAAGCCAGUUCCAAUAACUCAGCUCCUUUUCCGGUGGACGUUGUGUGGUGAUGUUGAAUAUCUCCAUUCCAUCCCCUGCAACUUAAUUUUUAUUUGAUUUUAUUGACGCCGCUCCAUUGGAAUGUGUAUCGCUUGAGCCCCUACGGAGAACCGAGCAGGUGUGAGUAAAGCAAAACAUCUUUUGUUAAUAGAAAUUCACCCUGGGAGUUCAUGGAGGUGCCAUAAUUUCAAUUGCUUUUAUGAAAAUGCUGCAAAUUCCCAUGUUGUGAAUUUCAAGCAGAGCUAGGGAGACCAACAGCCUCUAAUACAAGCCAAAGAUACAGUUAUUUCUAGGGCUGAAAUAAAUGUUCCAUUUGCAUUCUUCUAAAAAAAAAAUAAAUCCAGGUAUUUAAUUAGAAUGUUUAAACUGGUAGAAAAUCAUAUUAACUCUGAGUUUUGGCCCUCAUAGCUAACAUGGAACUCUGCCUGUGCUCGGCCUCCAAAAAGAUGACUUUGAGUUUCCUGGGUCACUUCUCCGGAUGAAGGAGGGAUCACUCCACCUUUCUUGGGGUCCAGAAGGACUUCACCACAUUGCCCAUUCUCAGCCCCAAGUCUUCACCCAUAUUUAUGUUUAGAAACCAAGGGAACAGGAACAGACUCCCCCCGAACUCUCAACCCAAGGGGGUGAUGUAUGAAUUUUCCACCUUGCCUCUUGGAUCCAUUGCUGCAGAGAAUAUAAGGGGAAAAGCCAAGCCCAACGUUCUUCCUGAUUUGGGACCAGAUACAGACGAUGGUGCAGCCUCCUGAUCCGGGAGGAAAGACGUAAGCCGGGUCUAUUACCGAAUGGCAUGUGUCAUCAGAAAAGGAUGUCAGGGUGCUUUAUUUAAAACUUUGUUUUCUCAGGUUGUAUUGCCCAAGUGUGUCUUGGCACAGACAAGCUCAGCCUCAAAAAUUCCAAGAUGUAUAAAGAGGUUCACAGAGCCGAAGCUAUUAUAGUUGGUUCUAUGCCACUAGCACCUCCCCCCCCCCUCAUUCUUGCAGAGCCGUGAAGUGAUGACUGAAUUUCGACUAGAAAAAUUUCAUUCUCUCCUUCCUCCUUGCAACUCUGGGGCCUCUUCUAGACAAAAUCAUUUAUCUGCUCCAAAAAGAAAAAUGUAGAAUUCACGGUGAUGUGGAACCUUUGGGGAUUUCUUGGACAAGACCUUCAGAGUCAAAGCUUUCACCAUCCCAGGACAGCUUGCAGAAGAAUUCUCUAGCAGCCUGCUCUGGUUAAACUGGUCAAAUUGCUCGCCCUUGGCUAGAAACCACAGGCACUCAAAAGACCUUCCCUCCCCCACCCGAAGAGCAACAGACCAUCACUCGAUGGAGGCUUAGCACGCUCAUGUGAUGUCUUUUGGCGAUUUUUCAGGCUGAGGAUAAACUCCCGUCAAGGACCUGUUUCACCUGACAGCUAGACCUCUUCACAUCCACUUAGCCGGGCUGAAACCAAGGUCAUGUAUGGAGAAGAACAGAUGUGCCUUUUUAAAACACAAGCCCUCCUCUGGUUCCCAGUGCUCCUUGGUAACUGGGUGGAAAAGUAACAAGGACUUUAUUUUUCCCCUAAACUUGAGACUGUUUGGGGGCACGGCCAUUCUUAAGUGUUAAGUGAGAGACUUGAAGACCGUCCCGUGCAGCCCAUAAACUUCUCUUGGGACACAGCCCUUCUGGGCGGGACCUAAGUCUCAAUUCCCAGGAAGCCCAGCCCUUGCCAAUUACCUCAGCACCAA